rnacentral:rRNA from 1 species
GACGAACGCUGGCGGCGUGCUUAACACAUGCGAGUCGAACGGAAAGGCCCUGCUUUUGUGGGGUGCUCGAGUGGCGAACGGGUGAGUAACACGUGAGUAACCUGCCCUUGACUUUGGGAUAACUUCAGGAAACUGGGGCUAAUACCGGAUAGGAGCUCCUGCUGCAUGGUGGGGGUUGGAAAGUUUCGGCGGUAGGGGAUGGACUCGCGGCUUAUCAGCUUGUUGGUGGGGUAGUGGCUUACCAAGGCUUUGACGGGUAGCCGGCCUGAGAGGGUGACCGGCCACAUUGGGACUGAGAUACGGCCCAGACUCCUACGGGAGGCAGCAGUGGGGAAUAUUGCACAAUGGGCGGAAGCCUGAUGCAGCAACGCCGCGUGCGGGAUGACGGCCUUCGGGUUGUAAACCGCUUUCGCCUGUGACGAAGCGUGAGUGACGGUAAUGGGUAAAGAAGCACCGGCUAACUACGUG